GUUUCCGUAGUUCAACGGAUAGAACGUUAGCCUCCGGAGCUGAUGAUGUGGGUUCGAUUCCCGCCGGAAACG
rnacentral:tRNA from 1 species